ensembl:lncRNA
ACAGAACCCACCCUAAACAACAACACUUCUGCUCCGGUUGAGAAACACUUGAAGACACGGUCUCCUCCGACACUUUCUCUGGACACUAGAAGAUCUUUACACGAGGGAAGAUGCAUUCAGGCAGCCUUGAGAAAGUGGGUUCGCUGAGGAGACGGACGCUGUCUCGAGGAAUGAGCGAAGAGGAGUCUCUAAGACACAUUAUCAGAGACGCAGAAGAAUCGAGCAGACACCUGUCACGCAGCGAUAGCAGAUAUGGAUCAUUAAAAAGAGGACAAAGACAAGAAAGCCAUAGUGAAGAUGAUCUACUUACUGAAAACAUAGAAAUGCUCAUCUGUCUGAAAAGCGAGGUGUGCUCUGAUUGGCCAGCUAUCCAGUGCGUUGUGAUUGGCUGAACACCUCAAGCGUGUGACGGAAAUGUUACGCCCCUCACCAUACUGUGAUGUGUGUCCCGGCACGACCAGACAAAACUAAUAAAACCCUUUACAAACGAGGCAUUUUUACUGAUUAUACAUAAUUUCAUUUAAAUUUCAAAAAGUUCUGAUUAUUUACAUUGAGUAAUUACAGAUUAUAAUGACUUACACUGUCUUUUUAUGCGUUGCAUUGCGUAUCUCGCUGCGUAAACAUAAAACCAUGUCUGCAUUUGUGAUCGGAGACACAACGAAC